GAGGGUAUAGCUCAAGUGGUAUAGCAUGUGCUUAACAUGCACGAGGUCCUGGGUUCAAUGCCCAUUGCCUCCU
rnacentral:tRNA from 1 species